rnacentral:lncRNA from 1 species
CCGCAACUUUGAAUUUUAGGCCUGGUUUAGAUCUAAAAGGUUUUUGAAUUUUGACUUUGUAGUACUUUCGUUUGUAUUUGACAAUCUCCUACAACUAAAAAGAAUAAAAGGAGAGCAACUUUGGUUUGGUGUAACCUCGGUGUCAUCUCCCCUUGCGAUCCCGCGUAUGGCUCCAAAAGGAAAACAAAUCACGCACUCGCACGGAAGUCAUGGC